CUGUGCCAACUGGCACCUCCUUGAGAUGUACAACAAAAUGACUUGACAGGAAAAGACAAGCUACGUUUUGAAUUAGUUUUAACCAUAGAAGGUGAGUUCUAUAUUGAUUUUUAUUCCUCAACUAUAUAACACCUGUGGGUUGUGCUGUACAGAUGUCAAUCAUUAUUACAAUACAUAAUGAGUUUUUUUCAUUUAUCCAUCUUUAGUAUGCCUGAGAAGCUUCUAAAGGGCCCUAAUAUUAAACUAAUUAAAUAUUUUCUGGCAAAUUACUCAAUAUAGAAACAUUUGACUUUCUUAUAUUAUUAUGCAAAGUCACAACUCUUGUUUACUUUAUUUAUUUAUAGGACUUGUAUGCCUCUCUCAUAUAAUAAGUCUAGACAACUUAUAAAGAAUUGCACUUGCUUAUUAUACUUAAAAGUCCUGGUUGUGCCAUGUAUACUGCCACAUACUACUGUGAUUUUAACAAGUAACUCAAGCCUUGCUUUGUUUGUAUUCUAGAUUUUCUAAAUCCAUUCUUUGUGGUGAAUGAAAUAACACUUGCAUAAGCAAACAUAAUGGUAAAUGAAGAUGGACACCCAAGUAGCACUAACUCUCAGUCAUUGUUCUGUUUUUAGUGGCUUAUGAUAGUUAAAAAAGAAUCUCAUGUCCUACUAAAAGUGACAGGAAGAUACCCCCAUAAUUGUUUUUAUAGAUUCUGUUUUCAUGAUGUCAUCUCCACUCCACAACAGUGGUAACAAUUUUCCAAUCUACUGUUCCAAUUUUGCCUUUUCUCCCAGUGUAUGUCUUGUAGUACAAAUGACUAAUGAUGUCUCCACAACGAUGUUAGUGAUGAAGCUCUUCCAUGGGAUUGGAGAACUGGUGGCUAAGAAGCCACUUCACGCCCUGUUCCUCUUGACAACUAUGGAAUGGUUGUAUUUUGCCAACAAGUCUGAUUACACUGAGCUGAUCCGUGGCAGAUACCUGGCAGGGAAACCUGAGUUCUUUACAUUAGCACCUAUCAGCCUGUCACUGCUUCAUCAUGCAGAUUUCUCCACCCCACUGACAUGUCAGCUGGGUUAUUUUUUGACGCAGAAUAUUAAUCUUCCCUGGAUGACUGGUGGAUUAUAUAGUAAGGAAGCAGUGUGAAGCCAGAGGUAAACAUCUUCUGAUCCAUGGAGUGAGAAUGAGUAUAUUAUGUCUAUUGAAGAAAGUGACCCUGAGCAGAAUAUACCAGCCCUUUAUUAAAAAAAAAAGGCACAUCUACGUUUUUGGAAUAACACUGUUCAUUUGUCAAAAAAAGUUGGCUGAUAGGUCAGUGGGGUGUAGCAGGGAACAUGAUGAAGGAAGAGGUGGUCUCUCCAGAGGACCAGUGCACUGAUGUUAAGAAAUAGCCCAGGUGUAAAGUCAUCAGUGCAGGGUAUUCCAUGCUUAAGACCAAUCACUUGGGCUACUUAAAAAUAGCCAUAACCUUUAUCCCAAACCUUUGCCCACACUUGUCUGUGCAUAUCUGACUCCACAAUAAGGAGAAUAAUUACUGUUAUUUUUCCACUAGACGUUGAUGUUGGAAGAGAACCUAUCAAUAAUAUUAAUGCCAUACAUGAGAGAAAAUUGCCCCACAUUAAUACUGUGUGGACAGUAGCAAUUGUUGGCCUUGUUUUGAAAAAGAGAAGGUUUGGAAAUGAGGUCACAGCAAAAUAUGUCACCAUGUUUUUGUGUCAUUUCAGAGACUGUAGGGCAGGCAUGUCAAACUGCCAGCCCACGGGCCAGAUGCAUCAUGUCCACCCCAUUGCUGGCAAUGGGGGGAAAGUCGCAAUAUGUCAUGUGAUGUUGCUAGUUUGACAUGCCUGCUGUAGGGAAUAAACCUUUCUAUGGCCAUGAGAACAUGCUCUUAGAAAAAGUAAGUUCAGAUGUGGCAGAAAGUAUUUCACCAAACAAAGGCACAUUUUUCUGUAGAGUUGGCAAUGUUUUCUGUCAUAGGGUGGGAAUGGUCAGAAGAAGCCAGUGUGUAGUAGAAACUAAGAAAUAUUGUGUCCACAAUCUUUCCACCAAGCGUUACAAGAAGUGCCAUCAGAAGAAAAUGGAAAUUGUUCUGCAUUACUGUACUCCAAGGGUGACUUUUUCCCUUAGGAGUUCUCUUGCUGCCACUUUUUAUGAUUCUGUCUUCUACAGUAUAUUCCCCAGGCUGCUUUAGCUAUAACAGAAGAAAAAAUCCUGCCUGCCUGCCUAAAUAGCUCUGGGAGAUACAAAAAAAACAGGUGGAAAACAUGCAGUACCAUUAGCAAGCUAUUUCAACUGUUGCAAAGUGCUGUAUCUCAUUUCUCCAAUAUUGGAAGGAGGAUAAGCAAACAGGAAGGAAUGGUCUGAUAAUUUGCUAUGAGGAUUCUUUGAAGUAGAUGUGAUGGAGGCCUGCAGCAAAUUUGGUCCCGGGCCAGAGGGAUGCCAACACUAGAUUUUGAUUCUGCCAUGUGAUUUGUGGAUAGACAGCAGGCAGCUAACUAACUAGUCAGAUAUUUCUGUGAAAGUCCUAUAAAUAUGGCAAAGUAACAGCUGAAACAAUGGGAGUGAACCUAAAACAUGCUGCAUUCAUCACUCAGACUGUAAUCAGUUAGCCACUCAGCACAAUGGGAUAUUCUUUAAACAGGAAUCUUGUACAUGAUAAUAAAACUACAUCUGGUAAAUA